UACGGGGGGAGCAAGCGUUGUUCGGAUUUACUGGGCGUAAAGGGCGCGUAGGCGGCGCAACAAGUCACUUGUGAAAUCUCCGGGCUUAACCCGGAGCGGCCAAGUGAUACUGUCGUGCUAGAGUGCGGAAGGGGCUACUGGAAUUCUCGGUGUAGCGGUGAAAUGCGUAGAUAUCGAGAGGAACACCUGCGGCGAAGGCGGCACUCUGGGCCGGUACUGACGCUGAGGAGCGAAAGCGUGGGGAGCGAACAGG
rnacentral:rRNA from 1 species